rnacentral:ncRNA from 1 species
UUUUUUGAGAGUUUGAUCUUAGCUCAGGAUGAAUGCUGGCGACGUGGAUAAGGCAUGCAAGUCGAGUGGGUUUAGACCCACGGCGAACGAGGUAGUAACACGUGGGAAUCUCCCUUCGAGUUUGGCAUAACCCGCCGAAAGGCGGAAUAAUUCCAAAUAGUCCCUUCGGGGUAAAGGCGUAAGCCGCUUGAAGAAGAGCCUGCGGAAUAUCAGCUAGUUGGUAAGGUAAUGGCUUACCAAGGCAAUGACGUUUAGGGGAGGUGAGAGCCUGACCCCCACCGAUGGUACUGAGACACGGACCAUACACCUACGGGUGGCUGCAGUCGAGAAUCUUCCGCAAUGGGCGAAAGC